rnacentral:lncRNA from 1 species
UCUUCUAACUGUAUAACAGCUGCAAAGUAAAACUAAAACACGAAAAAUUGAAUUGUUGAAAGAAAAGAAGUGAUGAAAAACUUGAAAACAUAAUAAUCAUAACAAAUGAUAUACUAAAAGGAGGGAUACGACUUACGAGUUCUCUAGAGAAUUUACAUAAGGGUAAAUCAAAUUCUCAAAAAAAAGAAAAGAAAAAAAGUAUAAGCUAAAUCAUACUCACACUGAUUUGAUCAAUGCACCAAAAGUCGAUAAGAACCAAAAAACUGAAGAUAAGUUUAAAAAUAAAAAAAUAAAAUAUUAUGAUUCUCUUUCACUCGAAUUGAAUAUUUGGGUCUUGCCUUAUACUCCUGACUCAGGAUUGUAUAUUAUACUGGUUAAACAAAUUUUGAG